ensembl:Mt_tRNA
CAUCUUUGAAAAAUCAUAAUAAUACUUGGGUAUUUAUAGGGUUUAACGCCCUCUCAAAGCUA